UACGUAGGGGGCUAGCGUUGUCCGGAAUCAUUGGGCGUAAAGCGCGUGUAGGCGGUCCGGUAAGUCCGCUGUGAAAGUCGGGGGCUCAACCCUCGAAUGCCGGUGGAUACUGUCGGGCUAGAGUGCGGAAGAGGCGAGUGGAAUUCCUGGUGUAGCGGUGGAAUGCGCAGAUAUCAGGAGGAACACCAAUAGCGAAGGCAGCUCGCUGGGACGUUACUGACACUGAGGCGCGAAAGCGUGGGGAGCGAACAGG
rnacentral:rRNA from 1 species